rnacentral:rRNA from 1 species
AACGAACGCUGGCGGCAGGCUUAACACAUGCAAGUCGAACGCCCCGCAAGGGGAGUGGCGGACGUGUGAGUAACGCGUGGGAACAUACCCUUUUCUACGGAAGAGCUCUGGGUAACUGGAAUUAAUACCGUAUACGCCCUACGGUGGUAAGAUUUAUCGGGGAAGGAUUGGGCCGCGGUGGAUUAGCUAGUUGGUGGGGUAAAGGCCUACCAAGGCGACGAUCCAUAGCUGGUCAGAGAGGAUGAUCAGCCACAUUGGGAGUGAGACACGUCCCAAACUCCUACGGGAGGGAGCAGAGGGGAAUAUUGGACAAUGGGCGCAAGCCUGAUCCAGCCAUGCCGCGUGAGUGAUGAAGGCCUUAGGGUUGUAAAGCUCUUUCAACGAUGAAGAUAAUGACGGUAGUCGGAGAAGAAGCCCCGGCUAACUUCGUG